CGGGUGAGUAACACGUAUGCAACCUGCCUGCCACAGCCGGAUAAUCGGGAGAAAUUCCGUCUAAUACGGCAUAAUGCAUCGACGGGACAUCCUGUUGGUGCCAAAGGUUGAUUCCGGUGGCGGAUGGGCAUGCGUCGCAUUAGUUAGUUGGCGGUGUAACGGACCACCAAGACGACGAUGCGUAGGGGUUCUGAGAGGAAGGUCCCCCACACUGGUACUGAGGCACGGACCAGACUCCUACGGAAGGCAGCAG
rnacentral:rRNA from 1 species